GAAACCGGCUUCCCAAGGGAACUGCCUGUGUGACUGAGAGGCUAGUAAUCUGUUUGUAGAUGAUUUAUAUUUUGGCUGCAGAAUGAAUCCCCCUCCCUGCCCGGAGUACUCUCCUUAGAGAAGAUCCCCCGCCCCCUCCCCAUGGGUUCGCUCUCAGAGCUCGGAUCUGUAUAAAGAGCGCUGUGGGAGUCUUUUGCCCUCCGCUCUAGCUCUAUCUUCCUCCGGACCCCGAAGCUUAAGAAUUAUCCGCCUCACUCUCUUUUUUAGAAAUAGGAGGGAAAGGUAGAGUGGAAAUUGAUUUCUUGCAGAGACUGAGGCGCUGAAUGAUAGAGGGAAUAAACAUUUGCCCUGGAUAAAAAUGUUCUUGGCUGUUGUCCAGCUCUAAUGAUGUCCUAGAGAAGAAGUGUUUCUUCUGUUGUCUCAUUUUACUAAGAGGAUGAUGUCUGUGUAUGUCUCUGUGUUUUAGAGAGGCUGACAGAUGCUGCUAAGAGGAUCUGAGGUUCACAUAAAGAGGAUGAAAAUUCUGAAUUACUUUCAUUGCAAAUAAACCUUAACAACUGUGAGAGUUAGAGAGCAUACUUUUCACAGAAGACUUUGAUUUGCUGCCUGAAGCUACUUACAUAAUUUGCUAUUCAGAGAAAUGCAUUUGUUUAUUGAGGACCCACUCGGACUUAAAUUAGAAAAAUGUAACAUUCAGAUUUUUAUUUUAUAUGUGAAAUAAAUGUGUGAUUGCUGUUCUUAAAAUUUU